rnacentral:rRNA from 1 species
GACGAAGGGGGCUAGCGUUGUUCGGAAUUACUGGGCGUAAAGCGCGCGUAGGCGGUUUUUCAAGUCAGAAGUGAAAGCCCCGGGCUCAACCCGGGAACUGCUUUUGAUACUGUUGGACUUGAGUCCGGGAGAGGAUAGUGGAAUUCCCAGUGUAGAGGUGAAAUUCGUAGAUAUUGGGAAGAACACCAGUGGCGAAGGCGGCUAUCUGGACCGGUACUGACGCUGAUGGACAAAAGCGUGGGUAGCGAACAGG